rnacentral:rRNA from 1 species
GAUGAACGCUGGCGGCGUGCCUAAUACAUGCAAGUCGAGCGGACAGACGAGGAGCUUGCUCCUCUGGCGUUAGCGGCGGACGGGUGAGUAACACGUGGAUAACCUACCUAUAAGACUGGGAUAACUUCGGGAAACCGGAGCUAAUACCGGAUAAUAUGUUGAAUCGCAUGGUUCAACAGUGAAAGACGGUCUUGCUGUCACUUAUAGAUGGAUCCGCGCCGCAUUAGCUAGUUGGUAAGGUAACGGCUUACCAAGGCAACGAUGCGUAGCCGACCUGAGAGGGUGAUCGGCCACACUGGAACUGAGACACGGUCCAGACUCCUACGGGAGGCAGCAGUAGGGAAUCUUCCGCAAUGGGCGAAAGCCUGACGGAGCAACGCCGCGUGAGUGAAGAAGGUCUUCGGAUCGUAAAACUCUGUUAUUAGGGAAGAACAAAUGUGUAAGUAACUAUGCACGUCUUGACGGUACCUAAUCAGAAAGCCACGGCUAACUACGUG